AUGGAGGACGCGGCGGCGGCGGCCGUCCCCGGAGCGCACGCGUCGGCGAGCCGCCGAUCCGACGACCGGCAGGUGCCGCUGUGGAGUCCCGGCCCCCGGGAGCAGCAGAGAAGCCCCGACGAUCUCAUCAGCCACCUCCCCGACGACGUCCUCGGCGCCGUCGUCUCGCUCCUCCCCACCAAGGACGGCGCGCGCACGCAGGUCCUCUCGCGCCGGUGGCGCCCCCUCUGGCGCUCGUCCGCGGCGCCGCUCAACCUGUCGAUCGACCGCCGCUUCUGCGCGGGCGACGCCCGCAAGCACGCCGCCGUCGUCUCCCGGAUCCUCUCCGACCACCCCGGCCCCGCCCGCCAGUUCUCGCUCCGCCAGGCCUUCCCGCCGGGCCAGAUCGACCGCUGGCUCCGCGCCGGAUCGCUCGCCCGCCUGCAGGAGCUCGAAAUCGCCUACACCAAGGUGCACGGGGACGUAUGCCACCCGAUGCCGCCGUCCGCGCUCUGCUUUGCGCCGACGCUCCGCGCGGCCAAGUUCGGCAGCUGUGAGUUCCCCGAGCUGACCGCGCCGUCGCCGAAAUUUCCGCGCCUCAAGCAGCUCACCCUGUGCCGCGUCAGCAUCUCGGAGGACUCUCUCCACGGCAUGCUCUCUGGCUGCAUUGCCUUGGAAAGCCUUUCGCUGGACCGGAACAUCGGCAUCGGUCGCCUCUGCAUCAGCUCACCGACGGUUAGGCGCUUCAGCUUCUCGCCUCAUCGGGACAAACAAGGUAUCGUCACUUGCCAAGAGCUGCUCGUCCAGGACGUCCCACGCCUUGAGAGGUUAAUACUACAUGAUUCACACAUUGGUCCGGCGACCAUCCGGAUAACCGGGGCACCUAAACUGGAGCUGUUGGGGUUGUUGUCUCAUGGCAUAUCUACACUCAAGCCUGGAACCACAGUUCUCCAGAAAACGAUUGAUGUCAGCUUGACAACCAUAAUGCAUAAAGUGAAGAUUUUGGUUGUUGACUCUAUUGGUCCCAAUCUAGAUGCAAUUGUUGGCCUACUCAAGUGCUUCACUUUCUUAGAGAGGCUAUAUGUCAUUUCGCACCCACAGGAGGAUAUGAAUAAUGUGCGCAAGUAUGACCCACUGGAUCCAAUUGAAUGCCUAGAACUCCAUCUAAAAAAAGUGGUAUUGAAGAAUUACGAUGGUAACCGGACGCAAGUUAUUCACUUUGCCCAGUUCUUUGUUUUGAAUGCAAAAGUGCUUAAGGAAAUGGAAAUUGGAGUUGUCAACCGCUGCAACAGCAAAUGGAUGCGUUUUCAGCGUAAACGGUUGCAAGUGCAGAAUAGAGCUUCUCGAGAUGCACAGAUUGAACUAAAAUGGGAUACAAAGAAGAGCUUCAAAUACCAUGGUUUUUCCGAGGCUGAUCCCUUUGACAUGUCCUCAUGUUGA
rnacentral:rRNA from 1 species